UUUAUGGAGAGUUUGAUCCUGGCUCAGGAUGAACGCUGGCGGCGUGCCUAAUACAUGCAAGUCGAGCGAACGGACGAGAAGCUUGCUUCUCUGAUGUUAGCGGCGGACGGGUGAGUAACACGUGGAUAACCUACCUAUAAGACUGGGAUAACUUCGGGAAACCGGAGCUAAUACCGGAUAAUAUUUUGAACCGCAUGGUUCGAAAGUGAAAGACGGUCUUGCUGUCACUUAUAGAUGGAUCCGCGCUGCAUUAGCUAGUUGGUAAGGUAACGGCUUACCAAGGCAACGAUGCAUAGCCGACCUGAGAGGGUGAUCGGCCACACUGGAACUGAGACACGGUCCAGACUCCUACGGGAGGCAGCAGUAGGGAAUCUUCCGCAAUGGGCGAAAGCCUGACGGAGCAACGCCGCGUGAGUGAUGAAGGUCUUCGGAUCGUAAAACUCUGUUAUUAGGGAAGAACAUAUGUGUAAG
rnacentral:rRNA from 1 species